GAACAGUCAGUAGGGAAGCGCUACACGGUGGUGAAGGAGGAAGAACUUGAACUUGAUGCAUUAGUGCCUUUUCUCUGCGGAGAGGCAAGGCUGUCACCUAAAGAUGUUGACUCUUCUGCUACUUCUCCUGGGACUGGGUUCUGUGUUCGGUGCUCUCCUCUCUCAAAAGCCAAGCAGGGCCAUCCGUCAACGUGGGACCUCCAUGACGAUCGAGUGUCAGGCCGAUAGCCAGCUCAACUUCAUGUACUGGUACCGUCAGCUUCCAGGACAGAGCUUGGUGCUGAUGGCUACUGCCAAUCAGGGCUCCAAGGCUACUUACGAGAGUGAGUUCACUGAGGACAAGUUUCCCAUUAGCCGCCCGAACCUGGCGUUCUCAACUCUGACUGUGAGCAACGCGAGCUCCGAAGACAGCAGCUCUUAUUUCUGCAGUGCUGGAGACACAGUGCUGGGCACGGAUCAAGGGUCUCAGCAAGAACCCCUCUCCCUCCCACCCAGCUCUCAGCCAGCCUGUGGAAUCUCAGUUCCCCAACCAGGAAUCGAGCCCUUGACCCUGCUUUGGAAGUGUGGAGUCGUAACCACUGGAUCACCAAGGAAGUCCCUGUGUAGACUGGGCAGGGAAUGGCAAAAGCACUCCAUUCCCAAGCUUCACCUGAAUUGAACAGGGCUGACGUCUUGUUAUCCAGGUGUCAGCUCAAAUACCAUCUCCCCAGAGAGAGCUUUCCUAACCUUCUAUGCUCACACAGUACCUGUGGACUCAGCCACCAGUUACUCACAUUUAUUAUCACUUUAUCCUAUUUCACUAAGACCUAAUUAUCAGUUAGUUCAGUUCAGUUCAGUUGCUCAGUCGUGUCCGACUCUGCGACCCCAUGGACUGCAGCCUGCCAGGCUUCCUUGUCCAUCACCAAAUCCCAGAUCUUGUUCAAACUCACAUCCAUCAAGCCAGUGAUGCCAUCCAACCAUCUCAUCCUCUGUUGUCCCCUUCUCCUCCUGCCUUCAAUCUUUCCCAGCAUCAGGGUCUUUUCCAAUGAUCUAAUCAUUGGAAUAUAAUCAAUUAAUCAUUAUACUUUGAUAUAAAUAGUUGAUCCUUGAACUAGGUACAGAUUAGGGACACUAACCCUCUGCACAGUUGAAAAUCCACGUAUAACUUUGUAGGCACUUCUUCGUAUCUAAAGUUCCACAUCCUGUAUUUAACCAACCUCAAAUCAUGUAACACUACAAUAGUUAUUGAAAAAAAAAUUCCAUGUAUAAGUAGACCAGUGCAGUUCAGAUUCCAUCUUGUUCAAAGAUCAACUGUAUAUAUUAUAUACACAUCAUACAUAUAUAUAAAGAUACAUAUAUUUUUUAAUGUACUAUCUGCCUCUCACAGUUAUAUCUCCUUUCAUAUGUGUGGACACGCACACACAUAAUUACACAUUGUUGUGGUUUAGUUGC